ACACGACUACAUUAGAUACCCGCGUAGUCCUAGCCGUAAACGAUACUCGCUAGGUGUCGGCCACGGUGCGACCGUUGUCGGUGCCGUAGGGAAGCCGUGAAGCGAGCCACCUGGGAAGUACGGCCGCAAGGCUGAAGCUUAAAGGAAUUGGCGGGGGAGCACCACAACGGGUGGAGCUUGCGGUUUAAUUGGAUUCAACGCCGGAAAUCUUACCGGGACCGACAGCAACAUGAAGGCCAGGCUGAAGACUUUGCCGGAUUAGCUG
rnacentral:rRNA from 1 species